AUUAAACAGAAAGUAAAUAAUAAUAUAUAUACAAAUGGCUAAGGCUAUGAUCUCCUCCUCAUUUCCCAUCUUCCUAUUGGCUUUCUCUCUUCUCAUUUUCUCUAUUUCUGUCGAAACUCGUUCUACUCCCUUCCGUGGGGUUGUUGAAGCUGGGUUGGAGUUACAAUGCAACAAAGUUUAUGGAGUAAAGAAUGGAGACACAUGCUUUGAUCUUGAACAGAAAUUUAAGAUCACCACUCCCCACUUCAGUUUCAUCAAUCCAAAUCUCAAUUGCACUGAUCUUUUCAUUGGCCAAUGGCUCUGUCUCGAUGCUGUCCUUAUCCUCCCUUAAAAUUAAUCACCUUUUUAAUUAAGCCUUGUAAUUUCAAAUAACUCUUUUUUAGUGCUUAUUAAAAAAGUAAUUUCAAACAAAGUCUCUACCACACACUCAAUAAAUGGAGGACCCAAAUCUCCUCUAUACUUUGUGUGUUGUUCUUAGUAAUUUUACUUUUCUGUCUUUUCAUGAUUGUCUGUUUGUUUCUUUUCUCUCUUUCAGUUAAUUUUGGUUUUAUGUAAUCUCAAUCCUAUUCUCAACUUUGUUGGUUAAGAUAUGAUUCCUAUAGCUUUAAUU